GAUGAACGCUGGCGGCGUGCCUAAUACAUGCAAGUCGAGCGAACGGACGAUAAGCUUGCUUCUCUGAUGUUAGCGGCGGACGGGUGAGUAACACGUGGAUAACCUACCUAUAAGACUGGGAUAACUUCGGGAAACCGGAGCUAAUACCGGAUAGUAUUUUGAACCGCAUGGUUCAAAAGUGAAAGACGGUCUUGCUGUCACUUAUAGAUGGAUCCGCGCUGCAUUAGCUAGUUGGUAAGGUAACGGCUUACCAAGGCAACGAUGCAUAGCCGACCUGAGAGGGUGAUCGGCCACACUGGAACUGAGACACGGUCCAGACUCCUACGGGAGGCAGCAGUAGGGAAUCUUCCGCAAUGGGCGAAAGCCUGACGGAGCAACGCCGCGUGAGUGAUGAAGGUAUUCGGAUCGUAAAACUCUGUUAUUAGGGAAGAACAUAUGUGUAAGUAACUGUGCACAUCUUGACGGUACCUAAUCAGAAAGCCACGGCUAACUACGUG
rnacentral:rRNA from 1 species